UGAGGUAGUAGGUUGUAUAGUAGCAACUAAGAAUCGUACUAUACAAUGUGCUAGCUUUCU
rnacentral:pre_miRNA from 1 species